UGGCGGCCGUAGCGCGGUGGUCCCACCUGACCCCAUGCCGAACUCAGAAGUGAAACGCCGUAGCGCCGAUGGUAGUGUGGGGUCUCGAACUGCCAGGCA
rnacentral:rRNA from 1 species